rnacentral:rRNA from 1 species
UCCAGACUCCUACGGGAGGCAGCAGUGGGGAAUAUUGGGCAAUGGGCGCAAGCCUGACCCAGCAAUGCCGCGUGAAGGAAGAAGGCCUUCGGGUUGUAAACUUCUUUUAUCAGGGACGAAGGAUGUGACGGUACCUGAUGAAUAAGCUCCGGCUAACUACGUGCCAGCAGCCGCGGUAAUACGUAGGGAGCAAGCGUUAUCCGGAUUUACUGGGUGUAAAGGGCGCGUAGGCGGGAUGGCAAGUCAGAUGUGAAAACCACGGGCUCAACCUGUGGCCUGCAUUUGAAACUGUAGUUCUUGAGUACUGGAGAGGCAGACGGAAUUCCUAGUGUAGCGGUGAAAUGCGUAGAUAUUAGGAGGAACACCAGUGGCGAAGGCGGUCUGCUGGACAGCAACUGACGCUGAGGCGCGAAAGCGUGGGGAGCAAACAGGAGUAGAUACCCUGGUAGU